rnacentral:rRNA from 1 species
UACGUAGGGGGCAAGCGUUGUUCGGAAUUACUGGGCGUAAAGGGCACGUAGGCGGCCCAGCAAGUCUGGGGUGAAAGCCCGGGGCUCAACCCCGGAACGGCUUUCGAAACUGCUGAGCUAGAGUGCGGAAGGGGCAACCGGAAUUCCCAGUGUAGCGGUGAAAUGCGUAGAUAUUGGGAAGAACACCUGAGGCGAAGGCGGGUUGCUGGGCCGACACUGACGCUGAGGCGCGAAAGCCAGGGGAGCAAACGGG